ACCCAUGUGAACUUACCAUUGUUGCCUCGGCAGAAGCUACCCGGUACCUUACCUUGGAACGGCCUACCCUGUAGCGCCUUACCCUGGAACGGCUUACCCUGCAGCGGCUGCCGGUGGACUACCAAACUCUUGUUAUUUUUAUGUUAUCUGAGCGUCUUAUUUUAAUAAGUCA
rnacentral:misc_RNA from 1 species